rnacentral:rRNA from 1 species
AACGAACGCUGGCGGCGUGGAUUAGGCAUGCAAGUCGAGCGAGAAAAGGUCCGCAAGGGCCUGAGUAAAGCGGCGCAAGGGUGAGUAAUGCCUGGAUAACCUACCCCUGAGAGGGGGAUAACGUCUGGAAACGGACGCUAAUACCCCAUAAGACCACGGGCCUACGAGUCCGUGCUUAAAGAUAGCCUCUGUUUACAAGCCUUCGCUCAGGGAGGGGUUCAGGUCCUACUAGCUAGUUGGCGGGGUAACGGCCCACCAAGGCGACGAUGGGUAGCCGGGCUGAGAGGUUGUUCGGCCACACUGGGACUGAGACACUGCCCAGACUCCUUCGGGAGGCUGCAGUCGAGGAUUUUUUGCAAUGCGCGCAAGCGUGACAGAGCGACGCCGCGUGGACGAUGAAGGCCUUCGGUUGUAAGUCAAUCUCGGGAAGAAGAGCCGGAGGUAACAGCUGCCGGCUUGACGUUACUCCGGUUGAAGCGCCGGCUAACUCGUGCCAGCAGCCGCGGU